CCUACGGGAGGCUGCAGUAGGGAAUUUUCGGCAAUGGGGGGAACCCUGACCGAGUAACGCCGCGUGAACGAAGAAGUUAUUCGUAAUGUAAAGCUCUUUUAACAGGGAAGAAAGAGAAAUUUGACGGUACUUGAAGAAUAAGCUCCGGCUAACUACGUGCCAGCAGCCGCGGUAAUACGCAGGGAGCGAGCGUUAUCCGGAAUUAUUGGCCGUAAAGGGUGCGUAGAUGGCAUAGUAAGUCUUUUGUAAAAAUGCUGGGCUCAACCCAGGAGGGCAAAAGAUACUGGAAGGCUAGAGUAUGCCAGAGGCAAGUGGAACGACAAGUGUAGCGGUAAAAUGCGUAGAUAUAUGGAAGAACACCAAUGGCGAAGGCGGCUUACUGGGGGGAUACUGACAUUGAGGCACGAAAGCGUGGGGAGCGAACAGGAUUAGAUACCCGAGUAGUC
rnacentral:rRNA from 1 species